rnacentral:rRNA from 1 species
UACGUAGGUGGCAAGCGUUACUCGGAAUCACUAGGCGUAAAGCGCAGGUAGGUGGUUGGAUAAGUUCUUUGUGAAAGCUCCUGGCUUAACUGGGAGAGGUCAAGGAAUACUGUUCGGCUAGAGUAUGGUAGGGGAAACUGGAAUUCCCGGUGUAGCGGUGAAAUGCGUAGAUAUCGGGAGGAAUACCUAUGGCGAAAGCAAGUUUCUGGGCCAUUACUGACACUGAGCUGCGAAAGCUAGGGGAGCAAACAGG